rnacentral:rRNA from 1 species
GUGAGGAAUAUUGCGCAAUGGAGGCAACUCUGACGCAGCCAUGCCGCGUGCAGGAAGAAGGCGCUACGCGUUGUAAACUGCUUUUAACCGGGAAGAAACCCCAGGACGUGUCCUGGGUUGACGGUACCGGAGGAAUAAGCACCGGCUAACUUCGUGCCAGCAGCCGCGGUAAUACGAAGGGUGCAAGCGUUAUCCGGAUUCAUUGGGUUUAAAGGGUGCGUAGGCGGAGCGUUAAGUCAGUGCUGAAAUCCUGCAGCUUAACUGUAGACUUGCCAUUGAUACUGGCGCUCUUGAGUGCGCUUGAAGUGGGCGGAAUGUGCCGUGUAGCGGUGAAAUGCUUAGAUAUGGCACAGAACACCAAUUGCGAAGGCAGCUCACUAAGGCGAUACUGACGCUGAGGCACGAAAGCGUGGGGAUCGAACAGGAUUAGAAACCCCGGUAGUCC